rnacentral:rRNA from 1 species
UAGUGAUAACGNAAGGGAAAAAAUUGAUAUUACCUUACUAUAAGUGUUGAUCUAAAUAACUGGUGCCAGAAGACUCGGUAACACCAGAAACGCGAACGUUAGUCGUCUUAAACAGGCGUAAAGGGUAAGUAAGCUGCUUUAAAUUCUAUUUUUUAAAAAGCUAAUUAGUCAUAAUCCUCCCUACUCUUUUCUGCAAUAGCAGUUAGCAACUCCCUCUCUAUCUGCCUGCCUUAAAUGCACUACCUCCCUUAGGAUUUAGCAUCUCUCCUGCCCACUCCUUCCCUCCCUUUUGGGGAGGGGUUCCUUUCGGAUAGGCGAGGGAUUGUUACCUAAAAGAGGAAGACAAAGGAGUUAGAUGAGAGUCAGUAACGCAAUGAGGGGGAUAGUUUUCAGACCCUAAUUUAUAAAUUAAGGCUAACUAAAAUGAAAAUAGGGAAUUAUUAAAUGGAACAAAAUAGAUAAAUUUAAAGCUAGAAUCAUAAUUGAGAUAAACCAAAUAAUACUCAUGUGUAACGGCGAUAUCUGAAAAUACUAAGUACAAUACUACCCGUGACANAUUUUUAUCUGGUAUUGAUUGACGCUGAGGUACGAAAGUGAGAACGGGAAUACGAUGUGCGACU